rnacentral:misc_RNA from 1 species
CAACCAUCAAGCCCCCGGCUUGCGUUGGGGCCCUGCGGCUGCCGCAGGCCCUUAAAAACAGUGGCGGGCUCGCUGUCACACCGAGCGUAGUAAUACAUCUCGCUUUGGACGUGCGGCGGGUUCUUGCCGUGAAACACCCCCCUUCUCAA